rnacentral:rRNA from 1 species
GACGAACGCUGGCGGCGUGCUUAACACAUGCAAGUCGAACGGGCUGCCUGGUUUUCGGAUCGGGUGGUGAGUGGCGAACGGGUGAGUAACACGUGAGUAACCUGCCCCCCUCUUUGGGAUAACGUCGGGAAAUCGGCGCUAAUACCGGGUAUUCUGGCUUCCUCGCAUGGGGUUGUUGGGAAAGGUUUUUUCUGGUGGGGGAUGGGCUCGCGGCCUAUCAGCUUGUUGGUGGGGUGAUGGCCUACCAAGGCGGUGACGGGUAGCCGGCCUGAGAGGGUGUCCGGCCACACUGGGACUGAGACACGGCCCAGACUCCUACGGGAGGCAGCAGUGGGGAAUAUUGCACAAUGGGCGGAAGCCUGAUGCAGCGACGCCGCGUGGGGGAUGACGGCCUUCGGGUUGUAAACCUCUUUCAGUGCAGAACAAGGCUCUUUGUGGGUUGAGGGUAUGCGCAGAAGAAGCGCCGGCUAACUACGUG